UGGAGGAUACAGUGAUGGAGGACACAGUGGUGCAUGCUGAUUUAUCUGGUGGUCUGGAGGGAGAGGAGGCCUCGCUGCUGGCUCCAGAGCAGGUGCAGUUUGACACGGUUUUCAAUCGUGGAAGGGAAGAGGACUCUAAUGCAGAGGAAGGCGCA